AAUUUCCAUUCCCUACCUUGCUUUUCUCUCUUUUUGGCUCUGUUUCAGGUUUGGAUCACUUCAUAUUGCCUCAUUCAUGCCUGCCAUUGUACCAGCUGUCUCCUGAACCCAAACUCCCUGUCCUGAAGGACCUCAAAAAUUAUGACCAAGACAGGCAGCCCACCCUCCUUGGGACAUCUGGGAUGAUUUGAAGAGAACGGCCUUAACUCUGUCCCUGAAUGUCCCUUCAGAGUCACAAGUAGCCAUAGUUCCCCUGCUACUUCCAGCCGGGCUAGAACAACUGCUUUGCACUCCUGCGGCGGGGUUCGGAGCAUGGGAAGGGCAAAGGCCCUCCUUGGGAGAGGACAGGCCUCCUGCUUUGCCAGCCAACACCACUGGAGAGAAGCUGACGCCACCUUGCCGUUUGUCCUAGGCUUGUGAGAUGCACGGGGUCAUGUUCCAGCCAUGCUCCUCUCCAGGGAGUCUUCCAGAUCAAAUUUUCUCCGUUUGCAAACCAGGAGAUGAUUUUCCUAAUGGCUGUAACUACAUUGCUCAUAUUCUGGCUGCACAGACCUGCUCCUAUAUAGCUGCAGUACAUCUGGGAGGAGAUUAAGGUGUUGGGGUCCAAAAGAAGCUGAAGAAUUAGUCUACAUGUGGGAACAGAACCCAAAUCUCCUGACACUCACCUGCAGCUUUCUGGUCACAAGACCAGAACGUCUGUCAUCUCAAGGUUAAGCAGGCAGACCCUUUUAGAGGAGUUUGAUGGUAAGCAGAUGAAUAAUAAUUAUGGCAUAUUAAUCUUAUCUGCAGAGCAUCCAUAACUCUUUCAGUGGUUCAUAUGGUCCAAUGUUUCUGGCCUGAUCAGAAAUCACCAUUGGCUACUUUCUCAUCAUAUGAGCUUUCCUCUUUUCUCAUCAUAUGUUGCCCAGGUGAGCUGGAUAGAAAUGUCUGCAACUGUGAAAUACAAAUUGUUGUAAACAGCAGUCCGCUGACCUGUCGGUCGAGUAACUCAUGAGGGAUGCAGUGCUUUGCUUUAGUGUUGGUAUGCUGACAUUGUCUUCCAUUGAGCUACAAGGAAGUUUAGCUGUAGGUUAUUCACCAUAACGUUGAGAAAGCUCCAGGCUAGUGAGGGCCGCAGAACUGUUCUGCUCAGGCCUUCAGUCCCAGUUAUUUUACCCACUGCAUCAAACUGCUGUUUUUGGUACUGCCUCACAGAGAGUGAAGCUCACAGAAGGCACUGCUCACACUGCUCUCUCUCAGUGGAUUUUCGCUAGUAGAAGUUAUGCUAGAUUUUCAGAGAACAGAGUGCAUCCCACCAUUGGCAAAUAUUACUCUGGUGCCACAAAGACAUCCUACAUACUUUAAUUAAAAUGCUGGUAGGGGUAUAUUUCUGGUUGAUGAAUUUCAUUAAUCUGAGUUUUAAAAGAAGUAAUGCUGAGAAAUGUGGAACCUGAAUGCCCCCCUUCCGUUUUCCCAAAGAAUCUUUAAGCACUAGCUCCUAGAGGGGCAUCAGAGAUACAGACCAGCGGAGAGGCUGGGAGGGGGGAAGAUGAAGGAGGAGGGUAUGUAUGCGUGUGUAUUUUGGGGCUUUUUAGAAGGAAAGAACAUGAGUUUGAGUUUUGAAAGAAAACUAGGCCAAAAAAUGCAGUAGAUAGUUUCUAAAAGGAUGAUUCAAGCAGCUUUGAUAUGGAUAUGUUCCCUUGCAAAGACACAGCACUGGAGAAGCUCUUUAUCAGUGUCAAAUUAUGACAAACGACAUUGGGGGAAAGUCACAGGGCUGCAGAACAUUGUCGCAGCUGCAACACCUUGGAAAUUAUACAGGUAUCUUUACUGUUCCAUGCCUUGGGGUUCCAUUCUGGCCUUAAUUAAUCACAGAGAAAAAGGAUUGUCUUUUCUCCUGUUCUUUUUAAGUUCUUUUUAUAGCACGAUAAAUGAGGGAGGGAAGACGAGGAAGAGGAAAAUUGCGUGUGGACAAAUUUGGGCAAGAUAAUACCCUAUCCUUGGCUUGUACACAAAGACAUUAUUGCCUUGCUGACAAAAGUCAUUAGAAAAUGUAGGGCCUGCCCUCGUGUCAAGUAGAAUGCCGUGUAAAAGGAAAAUUGAGGGGAAUGCGUGAGCGUGGGGGGAGAGAAAGAGGAGAGGGGAAGCAGCAGCAAUCAAACAAGGGCAAUAAAAGCCGGGGACAUUUCCUGCAGUGUGUUGCUGGAGGCCAUAUAUGGUACAAACCAGCAUGACUGAUUAAAAAAAAAAAAGUGUGUGUGUGGGGGGGAAUCAAGCCAGAGUUUCUUAACAGUACCUCCAGUCUCUUUUUUAAGAGUUCCCUUGAAGACUUGUCUAUAUAAAUGUUGAAUUAUAUGGUUCUUUGACUCUUUACUAGAAAUUGCUCUGAAUUACUUUUUUUAUAUAAUCUGUUUCAUUUCCAGCAUUCUGCCGUAUCUCACAGAGGAAUAUCUGUAGCUGUCAACUGGCACAUUCUUCUGUUGCUAGACUGCUGUGCUGUGUCUUCUAAUAAAGUUGCCCUCUGUUCCACCACAGGGCAGUAAUCUGUAAUGAAAAUUUUAUAUGAGUGGUUAGGAAAUGGAGUUUGAAUCUGGGUUUCAAGUAUGAUUUUCAUAAUACUCUAGGCAUAUAUGCACACAAUGUUUGGGGAUUUAGAAAUAAAAGGGAUCAUUUCACGACGACUCUGUUUUCUUUAAACCUCUUCUUGAUAGGAUCAUUGGAAAUAUUUGCAGCUUUGAUCUCACCCCUUGUAAGCCUCCCCUGGUUAUAUUAUAAAUUUGGAACUUGGAACAAUUGUCAAAAAGGCCACUGGACCUUUUCAGAGGCCGUUGGUCAGAGAGGAGAUCACGUUAAAAUUUUCUGCUUCUAUGGUAUUUCUUGCUUCCUCUAGAUGCGAAAUCCGCGAAUGCCUAUGCGACAUGUCAUUUAUUGUAUUAUCAGUAUAAGCCUUCUUGUAUACAUUCAGUCCUUUAAUGUGGCAGUAUCUCUGUCUAAAGAACGCGUCCUUAUAAUGUUUGCAGAGCUAGUAGUGGCGUAGACACUCGGGAAGCUGAAGCUGUUAGCAGAGCGGGGUGUCAGUCCAGCUCUCCUUGCAGUGCACGGGGAAGGUCGGGGAGCUUGCACGCCUCUUUCAACUCGGGUCCUCGCAGGAACUGCAAGGAUCUACUCUCACCUCUUAGAGGGAGGAAUCUGCCUCAUCUGAUCAUGCCCAGUGAUAGGGUAAGUGACCUCGCUGAGCUUAGGUACGACGUGGCCAUUAAAUUCGGACA